AUCAUUUUUCAAUACCUCCUAAAUCAUCGACAAAAGAAAUCAUUCAUUAAAUCAUGGCCAAGAUCAGUAUGUUCCUUGGCUUCUUCUUGCUUGCUUUGGUUGCCAUGCCUGCAGCCUCUUCUGCCAGCAGGAUGAUACUUCAGGACGAUCACGUAAAUACGUGCCCGGAAAUUGUGUGCCUAGGGGUAUUGUGCUCAGACAUAGUACCAAAUUGGGAUCCAAAUAGAGUAUGCCCAGAAAUUAGAUGCAGUAAUGGUGUUUACACGCCGUGCUGUGAAUGCCCCAAAUGCUGUCCUCCUGCUUAAAUUACCCCACUGGAUCCUGGUGGCUGGUCAAAUCGCAUACCGUGUAUUUUAUUCUUACAUAUAUGUGCAAGUAAUGUAUUGUUUGCAUGUUGCUGUCUUCUCUCAUCUUAGUUUGAUGUUGCUUACAGCUUACUUAUGUUUGUAUAGUGUAUUCCAUAUUUGAUGUGAUAAAACGUAUGCGGUUA